GGGGCUGUGGCUCAGGGGUAGAGCGUCUGCUUUGCAUACGGAAGGUCCCAAGUUCAAUUCCUGGCAUCUCCA
rnacentral:tRNA from 1 species